ACUAUAGAUAUAUUUCAAAAUCUGAAAACUACGGUUCAGAACUUUCACUUUUAAUUUUUCUUACAAAUAUUGUCCAAACUUCAUCCUUAAAAGAUCAAGUAUUUUCUUACUUUCCUAAUAGAAUUUCUUCACUAUUUGUUUAGUACAGAAAUUUUUAAGGCUUAUCAUAUCCACUAAAGUUAUUUGUAUUAAUCCCAUAGCAACUUCAAGAGGAGAGAAAGCAAAUAUUACUUUUAAGAAAGUAAUUUUUAAUAUGUUUCAAGUUUACAUUGUUGUGUUCUUCUAUACGUCUCCAACACUAAUCAACCAACGUCAGGGGC
rnacentral:lncRNA from 1 species